rnacentral:rRNA from 1 species
UUGCGUACUUCUUGUUUCCUUGGUGGGUUCGCCCACCACUAGGACAAACAUAAACCUUUUGUAAUUGCAAUCAGCGUCAGUAACAAAUUAAUAAUUACAACUUUCAACAACGGAUCUCUUGGUUCUGGCAUCGAUGAAGAACGCAGCGAAAUGCGAUAAGUAGUGUGAAUUGCAGAAUUCAGUGAAUCAUCGAAUCUUUGAACGCACAUUGCGCCCUUUGGUAUUCCAAAGGGCAUGCCUGUUCGAGCGUCAUUUGUACCCUCAAGCUUUGCUUGGUGUUGGGCGUCUUGUCUCUAGCUUUGCUGGAGACUCGCCUUAAAGUAAUUGGCAGCCGGCCUACUGGUUUCGGAGCGCAGCACAAGUCGCACUCUCUAUCAGCAAAGGUCUAGCAUCCAUUAAGCCUUUUUUCAACUUUUGACCUCGGAUCAGGUAGGGAUACCCGCUGAACU